UGAGUCCACAUCACUCGUCACUCGGAGAUCCAUCUCACACCCUGAGGCCAACCAAAAGGCAGAUACAAUGAGAGGAGGGCGGACAGCCUUUAUUUUACUAAAGCUUUCUCCGCAGGCGUCUGAAAAUACUGGGGUCCCCUCAAGACGAAGAGGUGACUCAUUUGCAGCUUCACCAAGUUCCUGUGAGAAGCCAGGCUGCCUGCCCCCCUGCAGGUGGGGGCUGCCUCUUUUCAGGACAAAAACGGGGGACUGGAGUCCCAGGUCCCCCCACCCCCUCUUGCAUCCCGGCUCCGUCCUGGUGCUCCACCGGGGGUGAGUGCAGGGAGGAGUCUGCUCACCCAGCUGGACCUGGCUCACGAACGCUCUCCGCCAAGGUCUCAGGAGCCCGCCGCCACCCAACAAGGACUUCAGGAGGUGGCCCUCCAGGAAGAGCCUGCCUGGGUCACGGGUCCUUGCAGCAGAAUCCAGAGCCCCAGGAACGUGGGAGCGGGUGCAGACACCUGCCCAAGACCUUGAGCAAAGUCCGCUGAGGCGCAGCCCGGCCCCCCGCCCCCCGCCCCGGGGCGCUCCUAGGGAUCCAUCCUCCGCGUCUCAUCCGCCCGCGCCCCCGCCGCGUCGGGUCCUGAGCGCGCCCCUGCCCGGCCGCGCUCACCGCCCGCUCCGGGGACGCCCAGUCGUUUUCCCGGGUCGGCGCCGGCGUGCGCCCCCCGAGCGGGGGAGCCGGGAGCCGGGAGCCGGGAGCCGGGAGCCGGGAGCCGCGCGCUCCGGGAGGCCGCCCCCGCCCCGCCCCGCCCCGCCCCCGCGGCCGCCGACCGCGCCCAGCGCCGGCUCCCCCGGAGCGCGCGGUCCCUGGGGGGGGCGCCCGGGCCGCAGAGCGCGCGUGGGGGCGGCGCCCCCCCCGCCCCAGCCGCCAGUCACCGAAUGAAUCCUUGCCAUGCGUCCGUCUCUCUGUGGCUCGUCUUUCUUUCCCGUCACACGUUCCAUGAGCGUGACCGCCCUGUCCAUUCUGUUCACUGCUGUGUCCCGGUAUCUACGACAGUCCUGGCACAGAGCGGGGCCCCGUGAGUGCCCACCAAACGGAGGAGCAGAAGACCAACCUUCCCCUUUGAGCUCUGCCAUCCCAGCCCAGCUGUCUGGAUGGGGAUUUGUCAGCAGCCUGGUCCGCUAUGGGGAAGGCUCUGGAAGCCGGGCUCUCGGGCCUUGGAGGGUGUCCUGUCCUGGUGCUCUGUCCCUGUAAAUGACUUCCUCAUCUUCAAAACCAGCUUCUGACCAAGGCCUUUGGGUCCUAGGCCCUAGGCUCCGGGGCUGGUGUCCCCAGAACCAUCCUCCCCCCCAGAGCUCCAGAAAAAAAAGUUUUGGGAACGACUCCUGGGGACCUUCUCUC
rnacentral:lncRNA from 12 species